ensembl:lncRNA
CGUACGGAGGCAAUGUGGAGGCUAUAUACAGGGGGUACCGGUACAGAGUCAAUGUGGAGGCUAUAUACAGGGUGUACCGGUACAGAUCAAUGUGGAGGUUAAAUACAGGGGGUACCAGUACAGAGUCAAUGUGGAGGCUAUAUACAGGGGGUACCGGUACAGAGUCAAUGUGGAGGCUAUAUACAGGGGGUACAGGUACAGAGUCAAUGUGGAGGUUAUAUACAGGGGGUACCGUACGGAGGCAAUGUGGAGGCUAUAUAAAGGGGGUAUCGGUACAGAGUCAAUGUGGAGGCUAUAUACAGGGG